rnacentral:rRNA from 1 species
CAGCUCGUGCCGUGAGAUGUUGGGUUAAGUCCCGUAACGAGCGCAACCCUUAGUCCUUAGUUACCAGCACGUUAUGGUGGGCACUCUAAGGAGACUGCCGGUGGACAACCGGAGGAAGGUGGGGAGUGACGUCAAGUCAUCAUGGCCCUUACGGCCUGGGCUACACACGUGCUACAAUGGUCGGUACAAAGGGUUGCCAAGCCGCGAGGUGGAGCUAAUCCCAUAAAACCGAUCGUAGUCCGGAUCGCAGUCUGCAACUCGACUGCGUGAAGUCGGAAUCGCUAGUAAUCGUGAAUCAGAAUGUCACGGUGAAUACGUUCCCGGGCCUU